rnacentral:rRNA from 1 species
CGCUGGCGGCAGGCUUAACACAUGCAAGUCGAGCGGGGAAGAGUAGCUUGCUACUUUACCUAGCGGCGGACGGGUGAGUAAUGCUUAGGAAUCUGCCUAUUAGUGGGGGACAACAUUUCCGAAAGGGAUGCUAAUACCGCAUACGUCCUACGGGAGAAAGCAGGGGACCUUCGGGCCUUGCGCUAAUAGAUGAGCCUAAGUCGGAUUAGCUAGUUGGUGGGGUAAAGGCCUACCAAGGCGACGAUCUGUAGCGGGUCUGAGAGGAUGAUCCGCCACACUGGGACUGAGACACGGCCCAGACUCCUACGGGAGGCAGCAGUGGGGAAUAUUGGACAAUGGGGGGAACCCUGAUCCAGCCAUGCCGCGUGUGUGAAGAAGGCCUUAUGGUUGUAAAGCACUUUAAGCGAGGAGGAGGCUACCUAGAUUAAUACUCUAGGAUAGGGACGUACUCGCAG